AUUGAACGCUGGCGGAAUGCUUUACACAUGCAAGUCGAGCGGCAGCGCGGGGCAACCUGGCGGCGAGCGGCGAACGGGUGAGUAAUGCAUCGGAACAUGUCCAGUCGUGGGGGAUAGCCCGCCGAAAGGCGGAUUAAUACCGCGUACGCCCGGGAGGGGAAAGCGGGGGACCUGCAAGGGCCUCGCGCGAUUGGGUUGGCCGAUGUCCGAGUAGCUAGUUGGUGGGGUAAAGGCCCACCAAGGCGAUGAUCGGUAGCUGGUCUGAGAGGAUGAGCAGCCACACGGGGACUGGGACACGGCCCAGACUCCUACGGGAGGCAGCAGUGGGGAAUUUUGGACAGUGGGGGCAACCCUGAUCCAGCCAUUCCGCGUGAGUGAAGAAGGCCUUCGGGUCGUAAAGCUCUUUUGUCCGGAGCGAAAAGGCCCUUUCUAAUACAAGGGGCUCAUGACGGUACCGUAAGAAUAAGCACCGGCUAACUACGUGCCAGCCGCCGCAGUAA
rnacentral:rRNA from 1 species